rnacentral:rRNA from 1 species
UACGUAGGUGGCAAGCGUUGUCCGGAUUUAUUGGGUUUAAAGGGUGCGUAGGCGGCCCUGUAAGUCAGUGCUGAAAUAUCCCGGCUUAACCGGGAGGGUGGCAUUGAUACUGCGGGGCUAGAGUACAGAUGAGGUAGGCGGAAUUGACGGUGUAGCGGUGAAAUGCUUAGAUAUACGGAGGAACACCUGCGGCGAAGGCGGGUAGCUGGGCCAACACUGACGCUGAGACGCGAAAGCUAGGGGAGCAAACGGG